UACAGAGACUGCAAGCGUUAUUCGGAUUCACUGGGCGUAAAGGGUGCGCAGGCGGCCAAGUGUGUGAGGCGUGAAAGCCUGGGGCUUAACUCCAGAAUUGCGCCUCAAACUACAUGGCUAGAGCAUUGGAGAGGGUAGCAGAAUUCACGGUGUAGCAGUGAAAUGCGUAGAUAUCGUGAGGAAUACCAGAGGCGAAGGCGGCUACCUGGACAAUUGCUGACGCUCAGGCACGAAAGCGUGGGGAGCAAAAGGG
rnacentral:rRNA from 1 species